GUGCCGUUUGGUUCCUAUCUUAUUGAUACAUAUGUGACAUAUGUAUAUUCCACUUCACUUUGAUUCGUAAGCCAAAUAAACCAGAUGAUAUAUUCAACUCUGGGAUUUUAAACUGUUGUAGUAAAUGUUUAUACAAAUUAUUCUUAUUUUCUUUUAUAUAUUUUUGCUCGUUAAUUAAACACGAGGCUAAAAGUCUAAUAUUUCAAAUCGUAGGCAUCUGAAAAUUUCUCAUAAAAUGUUACAAAACGAGUUUAUGUAAAGUCUUGUAGCACUGGACUUUCCUAUUGACAUGCUAACACUUAUAGUACAUAACCUCUAACCUGGACAGAAAUAAAGCUCUGUGGAGAUAUGGACCAAAACUCAGUAUGUUUAGCGCCUGUGAGCUAGAGGUCGAGGUUUUUUUUUUUUUUUUUGUUAAAAAGGAAGCUAUAUUCUAUUGUUAUUGCUUGUGCAACACACUAUAGACAGCUAUUCUAUAAACACAUACGCUUGAUACUGUAGAUACUAAGUCAGGAAAUAAUAGAAUCUUGUUGUGAAAGAAUCGGAAUUUAGGCCACUGAAAUUAUAUAUGUCAUGGAGUAGCCUUGGGCUUACAUAAACAAGGAAAUACUAUCUGUGUACUACCGUUUGUAAAUUGAAAAUUUACGCUUUAUUGCGUCAUAUGCAUGUAACAAGCAUUAACAUUAAAUUGUUUCAAAUUCCAGAAACUAUUGCGUAGCAACAUAUCUUUUCUAAAAUUCUUAAAAUAAGUUUCAAUAAUCCAUACCUGAUGGUUUCCCUUGCUCCCGACAUGAAAGAAGAACAAAACAAAACAAGGGUUAUCCACAGGGGAAUCCCCAUAAACCUAGUAUUUUUUCAUUGGUGUUCAAUGAACUAACAACAAGGAAUAUUGGUGUUUAAAUCAAAUUGUGGAUAGUGAAAAUAGUAAAAAUACGAUAUAUAAGGAAAUUAAUGUCAAAUCUAUAAUUUGUUUGUCUUCAUUUAGGAUUAUAUAUAAGUGUUUCGCCCGGAUAUUAUUUAUCUUUUGACUAUUAAAAACAAUAUCAUAAUUUGAAAACUACGACACAGCUAUAUACAUAAAUAGUUAUUUAUUUUAUUGUUUUCAUCAUGUGUAUAUUAACUUUUCAUGACUUGUUUAAUAUGUAUACUAUUUGAAUAUGUAUGCAAUAUGUUAUUGAAUUCAGUGGCGGAUCCAGAACUUUUCCUAAAAGGGGGGGGGGGAGGGCGCCGCUGACUGACCUAAGGAGGGCCCGCUCCAGUCAUGCUUCAAUGAUUUUCUUUAUAAUCAAUCAAAAUUUUUCCCACAAAAAGGGGGCGGCCCCCCAGGGCCCCCUGGAUUCGCCUAUGUUAAUGCUGCAAUAGACACAUACCCUUACAAUGAUACAUUCUAACUGUAAGACUACCUCAGUAUAACUAUAAGACUAACCUGAAGGCUAUUAUCUCAGGACCUGCCAAACUCAUAUACCUAGAUUAAUAAUCAAUCAAUCUGCUGGCC
rnacentral:lncRNA from 1 species